AUGGCGUCGCUCGCCGGAGCCGCACUCGCCUCCUGCAGCAUCCUUCUCCUCCUGCUCGUCCCCUGCGCCCAGGGGCAGGGGCAAUCACCCGAGGCGCCGGAGGAGGCUUGGGCCGAGGGGCAACCACCGGAGGCGUCGGAGGACGCUUUGACGAUGCUCUUGUCCGAGGGCGGGUGCGGCGCCUUCGCCGGCCUCGUCGCCGCGACGGCCGGCGUGGGCGACGCGUUCCGCGAGCAUAUCGGCAGCGACCUGGGGCUCACGAUCCUCUGCCCCGACGACGAGGCGGUGGGGACGUUCAUCCCGAGGUUCCAUAGCCUCAACGUCGACGAGCAGGUCGCGGUUCUCUUGUACCACGGCCUGACGAUGGCCUACUCCGAGGAGCUGCUCAGCUGGGUCCACUGGGAGGAGUUGACGCUUGAUGGAGUGCAGAUGCUCACCAUGCGUCACCACAGCGGCAGGGUGAUAGUUUCUUCGUCACGGAGCGAGGCCAGGAUCACCAAGACUGUCGUCGACGACGAUCAUCUCGCCGUCUACCUCAUCGACGCCGUGCUGAUUCCGGCAGAUCCCAAGCGUCAAAUCUCGUUCUGGGGUGUUUUGGCACUUAUCGUCUUCCUUCUGGUACUUGUUGUCGUCGGGGUCGUGGCGUCAAUAUUGAUGUGGCAUGCGCUUGUUUAUGUUUGUUCUCUCUUGUGCCGGCUGAGAAGAUGGUGCAAGGAUCGCGCCACUGCCUACGUUUCGGCCGCCCGUGUCACUUCACAUGGACAACAAGAACAAUAG
rnacentral:rRNA from 1 species